CUCCUAGGUCAGUAACUACUACUAACCCUGACCCUGAUCCCAUCUCCUAGGUCAAUAACUACUACUGACCCUGACCCCAUCUCCUAGGUCAAUAACUAUUCUGACCAAGACCGCAUCUCCUAGGUCAAUAACUACUACUAACCCUGACCCUGAUCCCAUCUCCUAGGUCAAUAACUACUACUGACCCUGACCCCAUCUCCUAGGUCAAUAACUAUUCUGACCAAGACCGCAUCUCCUAGGUCAAUAACUACUACUAACCCUGACCCUGAUCCCAUCUCCUAGGUCAAUAACUACUACUGACCCUCACCCUAACCCCAUCUCCUAGGUCAAUAACUACUACUGACCCUGACCCCAUCUCCUAGGUCAUUAACUACUACUGACCCUGACCCCAUCUCCUAGGUCAAUAACUACUACUGACCAUGACCCCAUCUCCUAGGUCAAUAACUAGUACUGACCCUGACCUCACCUCCUGGGUCAAUAACUACUACUGACCCUGACCUCAUCUCCCAGGUCAACAACUACUACUGACCCUGACCUCAUCUCCUAGGUCAAUAACUACUACUGACCCUGACCCUGACCCCAUCUCCUAGGUCAAUAACUACUACUAACCCUGACCCCAUCUCAUAGUUCAAUAACUACUACUGACCCUGACCCUGACCCCAUCUCCUAGGUCAAUAACUACUACUGACCCUGACCCCAUUUCCUAGGUCAAUAACUACUACUGACCCUGACCCCAUCUCCUAGGUCAAUAACUACUACUGACCCUGACCCCAUCUCCUAGGUCAAUAACUACUACUGACCCUGACCCCAUCUCCUAGGUCAAUAACUACUACUGACCCUGACCCCAUCUCCUUGGUCAAUAACUACUACUGACCCUGACCUCAUCUCCUAGGUCAAUAACUACUACUGACCCUGACCCCUUCUCCUAGGUCAAUAACUACUACUGACCCUGACCCCACCUCCUAG
ensembl:lncRNA